rnacentral:lncRNA from 1 species
UCACGUGAAAUUAUGAAUAAGUAUUCAUUUUAUUUGGUCUAAUAACAUGUGUUCAAACUAAAAUUAUUACAAGAUUAACCAUGCAAAUCCAAAAUUCAGUGCAUGUGCCACAUCAUGGACAGAAAAAUAACAAUCAAAAACAUCAAAAUCCACAAAAAGGUCCAAAAUGACGAUUAACUUCCAGUAGAAAUAAAAGAUUUCUGCAUGCAUAGCUUCCACCUAUACUGAAUCAAAUAUCUGGGGUGUCUGAACGAAUGGCUGAGCAAAAAACAAUUGAACACUUCGAUCAGAAAUAAUACAUCAAAUGUACAAAACUAAAUAAACUUAUGUUAAAUACACACCAUCAAGAGACAACAGAAAAAGGGCAUCUAGUCAAAACAAAUGUUGUGAACAAUCAACAAUAUAUUUUACUUCAAUAUCAAACCGCUCUCACCCUUAUCAAGUGUAACUUUUCUUGGUUUCUAAGUGUGUUUGAAUAAAUUUAAUUGUAUAAAACUGUGUUUAAGGCAAAUUUAUUUAUGUUUUAAUGUUUUACAUUAAAAUCAAAUUUGACAUAAAAUACACAACGCAUUUGAAUUGUUGUUAUGCUAAUAUUAUAUAUAAAAUAUGUAUGUGUUGUUCCAGUAUUCUAUAUUUUGGAAAUGCAUUGUGUAUUUUAUAAGAACUAGUUAAUCUCAUUAUAAUGAGCCUCACAAAAAAUGAGAAGAGACAUCAUGUUCGUCUUAAUUAACAUGAUAAUUAAGACAAAUUAAGACAUCAUGUGUCCAAGACGUGUCUAACAGCUGCUCGAACCAUUUUUUGUUUUAAUUUGACGUGUAUUCAAGACGUGAUAGUAACUAGAUAGUAACUAGAUUUGAUAUGAUAUGAUGGAGAAAAAAAAAAGGAGAAAAGGGAACGUACUAGCUUUCUCAGGCUUGCCAUCAGACCAUUUGGCAAGAGCAAAAUGGACCUUCUCGCGAGAGAGAGCUUCGGUCUUGUGAGGUUCCUUGAGGCAGUUCCUGACAAGAUUCGCACAUAUGUUGGAGUAAGUAAUGUAUGUCAUCCCUGCUGCCCUCCAAAAUGGCACUGCUCCGCUUGAUGCCAUCGAACUAUGAAAUGGCCCUGUUUGGAUAUAAAAUGACGUUUGAAAGUACAUAAUAAGUUGUCUAGUUAAACAAAAAAGCAAACAACAGAAGAAAACAUUAAUGAAUGAGACAUGUGGGAAAAGCAUCGAUAUCCCAAUACUCAUGUUCCAAAUACACCAUUAAUAGUGUUCCAAGAGCUAAACAACAAAUCAUUGCAAAAAAAAAUAUAUAUAUGUAGCAUCCAGAAACACUGCAGAAACUGUAACAAAAACUGAUUGUCCACAGGAAUGCGGUAAGGAGACAAUUCGAUAAGGUGAACAUAUACAAAAAAGUGAUAAAUAUGUUUUUCAUGUUUGAUAUAUCAAUGGAAUUUUGAAACAUGUGGUCGAGACUCAUGUUGUUAUUCCUUCUAAACUCAGUUUCAAAACCAAAUUUAUAGUUACUUACUACCGCAGAACAGAAUUCUAGAACAUGAAGAGGGACAACGUAAAUGAAUCCAAGUUGAACCAAAACAUGGGACAUUAAUAAUGUAUGAGAAGAGUGUCCCCAGCAAUUAACUUUAGAUGCAGACAAGCAUAAUUGAAACCAACCAUACGUCCUUGACAGAUAAUUACAAUUACAAUUUCAUCAACGCAGAAAAAUUGUCAAUAGAAAUAGCUUAUUUGCAGCUAUUAUAUAUUAAGUGUUUAAUCUAUAAGCUGCAAAAUAAGUUACUUAUCCAAACAGGGACAUAAUUAUAGAUGCAAGCUUCACAUAUAAUUGGGUAAUCAUCCUUGAGGUUGAGAAAUGUGAAAAAAUUGUAUCCUAAAAAAUUGGGACUUGUAACUAUUAAUUUAUACAUCUUCCAACAUCUUAGCUAAAUUAUAUUCAUAAAAAUCACUAUCACAUUACUCUAAAGCAAAUUAAGAUUUUCAAUUUUCAUAAAAAUGUUGUAAAUCUGAUUCAAAUGGAACAAGCGAAUCGAAUAAAUGAACCAUACAAAAAAAAAAAUCACAAAUCAAUCGAACAAAGGAGAAUAUAAGGAAUAUAGAUGAAUUUACCUGAGCUGAAAAUGGAAGAGGAAGACGAAGAAGCUAGGGGUUGCAGAGAGAGAGAGAGAUCGGAAGCGAG